UACGAAGGGUCCAAGCGUUAUCCGGAUUUAUUGGGUUUAAAGGGUGCGUAGGCGGGUUGUUAAGUCAGUGGUGAAAUCUUGCAGCUUAACUGUAAAAAUUGCCAUUGAUACUGACGAUCUUGAGUACACUUGAAGUGGGCGGAAUAUGUCAUGUAGAGGUGAAAUUCUUAGAGAUGACAUAGAACACCGAUUGCGAAGGCAGCUCACUAAAUUGUAACUGACGCUGAGGCACGAAAGCGUGGGGAUCAAACAGG
rnacentral:rRNA from 1 species